rnacentral:rRNA from 1 species
GACGAACGCUUUCGGCGUGCUUAACACAUGCAAGUCGAACGGAAAGGCCCUGCUUUUGUGGGGUGCUCGAGUGGCGAACGGGUGAGUAACACGAGAGUAACCUGCCCUUGACUUUGGGAUAACUUCAGGAAACUGGGGCUAAUACCGGAUAGGAGCUCCUGCUGCAUGGUGGGGGUUGGAAAGUUUCGGCGGUUGGGGAUGGACUCGCGGCUUAUCAGCUUGUUGGUGGGGUAGUGGCUUACCAAGGCUUUGACGGGUAGCCGGCCUGAGAGGGUGACCGGCCACAUUGGGACUGAGAUACGGCCCAGACUCCUACGGGAGGCAGCAGUGGGGAAUAUUGCACAAUGGGCGGAAGCCUGAUGCAGCAACGCCGCGUGCGGGAUGACGGCCUUCGGGUUGUAAACCGCUUUCGCCUGUGACGAAGCGUGAGUGACGGUAAUGGGUAAAGAAGCACCGGCUAACUACGUGCCAGCAGCCGCGGUGAUACGUAGGGUGCGAGCGUUGUCCGGAUUUAUUGGGCGUAAAGGGCUCGUAGGUGGUUGAUCGCGUCGGAAGUGUAAUCUUGGGGCUUAACCCUGAGCGUGCUUUCGAUACGGGUUGACUUGAGGAAGGUAGGGGAGAAUGGAAUUCCUGGUGGAGCGGUGGAAUGCGCAGAUAUCAGGAGGAACACCAGUGGCGAAGGCGGUUCUCUGGGCCUUUCCUGACGCUGAGGAGCGAAAGCGUGGGGAGCGAACAGGCUUAGAUACCCUGGUAGUCCACGCUGUAAACGGUGGGUACUAGGUGUGGGGUCCAUUCCACGGGUUCCGUGCCGUAGCUAACGCUUUAAGUACCCCGCCUGGGGAGUACGGCCGCAAGGCUAAAACUCAAAGGAAUUGACGGGGCCCCGCACAAGCGGCGGAGCAUGCGGAUUAAUUCGAUGCAACGCGUAGAACCUUACCUGGGUUUGACAUGGAUCGGGAGUGCUCAGAGAUGGGUGUGCCUCUUUUGGGGUCGGUUCACAGGUGGUGCAUGGCUGUCGUCAGCUCGUGUCGUGAGAUGUUGGGUUAAGUCCCGCAACGAGCGCAACCCUUGUUCACUGUUGCCAGCACGUUAUGGUGGGGACUCAGUGGAGACCGCCGGGGUCAACUCGGAGGAAGGUGGGGAUGACGUCAAGUCAUCAUGCCCCUUAUGUCCAGGGCUUCACGCAUGCUACAAUGGCUGGUACAGAGAGUGGCGAGCCUGUGAGGGUGAGCGAAUCUCGGAAAGCCGGUCUCAGUUCGGAUUGGGGUCUGCAACUCGACCUCAUGAAGUCGGAGUCGCUAGUAAUCGCAGAUCAGCAACGCUGCGGUGAAUACGUUCCCGGG